rnacentral:rRNA from 1 species
UAAUGCCGGAUGUUCCACAUGAUCGCAUGUGAUUGUGGGAAAGAUUCUAUCGGCGUGGGAUGGGGUCGCGUCCUAUCAGCUUGUUGGUGAGGUAACGGCUCACCAAGGCUUCGACGGGUAGCCGGCCUGAGAGGGCGACCGGCCACAUUGGGACUGAGAUACGGCCCAGACUCCUACGGGAGGCAGCAGUGGGGAAUAUUGCACAAUGGGCGCAAGCCUGAUGCAGCGACGCCGCGUGAGGGAUGGAGGCCUUCGGGUUGUAAACCUCUUUUGUUUGGGAGCAAGCCUUCGGGUGAGUGUACCUUUCGAAUAAGCGCCGGCUAACUACGUGCCAGCAGCCGCGGUAAUACGUAGGGCGCAAGCGUUAUCCGGAUUUAUUGGGCGUAAAGGGCUCGUAGGCGGCUCGUCGCGUCCGGUGUGAAAGUCCAUCGCUUAACGGUGGAUCUGCGCCGGGUACGGGCGGGCUGGAGUGCGGUAGGGGAGACUGGAAUUCCCGGUGUAACGGUGGAAUGUGUAGAUAUCGGG